CGAGUCUUAAUAGGGCGUUUAGUUGCUGGGUAUAGACCCGAAACCAGGCGAUCUAUCCAUGAGCAGGUUGAAGGUUGGGUAACACUAACUGGAGGACCGAACCCACUGUCGUUGAAAAGCCAGGGGAUGACUUGUGGAUAGGGGUGAAAGGCUAAUCAAGCCUGGUGAUAGCUGGUUCUCCCCGAAAGCUAUUUAGGUAGCGCCUCGGACGAAUACCAUAGGGGGUAGAGCACUGUUUCGGCUAGGGGGUCAUCCCGACUUACCAAACCGAUGCAAACUCCGAAUACCUAUGAGUACUAUCCGGGAGACAGACUGCGGGUGCUAACGUCCGUAGUCAAGAGGAAAACAAUCCAGACCGCCAGCUAAGGCCCCAAAAUCAUAGUUAAGUGGGAAACGAUGUGGGAAGGCAUAGACAGCUAGGAGGUUGGCUUAGAAGCAGCCACCCUUUAAAGAAAGCGUAAUAGCUCACUAGUCGAGUCGGCCUGCGCGGAAGAUGUAACGGGGCUAAAACUAUGUGCCGAAGCUGCGGAUUUGACAUUAGUCAAGUGGUAGGGGAGCGUUCUGUAAGCCGAUGAAGGUGUAUUGAGAAGUAUGCUGGAGGUAUCAGAAGUGCGAAUGCUGACGUGAGUAACGACAAAACGGGUGAAAAACCCGUUCGCCGAAAGACCAAGGGUUCCAGUCCAACGUUAAUCGGGGCUGGGUGAGUCGACCCCUAAGGCGAGGCCGAAAGGCGUAGUCGAUGGGAAAUUGGUUAAUAUUCCAAUACUUCUGUGUAAUGCGAUGAGAGGACGGAGAAGGUUAAGUCAGCCUGGCGUUGGUUGUCCAGGUGGAAGGAUGUAGGUAUGUAUCUUAGGCAAAUCCGGGGUACUCUAUACUGAGAUCCGAUAGCAAGCUGUACUUGUACAGUGAAGUGGCUGAUACCAUGCUUCCAGGAAAAGUCUCUAAGCUUCAGUUACACAGGAAUCGUACCCGAAACCGACACAGGUGGUCAGGUCGAGUAGACCAAGGCGCUUGAGAGAACUCUGCUGAAGGAACUAGGCAAAAUGGUACCGUAACUUCGGGAGAAGGUACGCUGUUGUUGGUGAUGGAACUUGCUUCCUGAGCUGACGACAGCCGCAGAAACCAGGCCGCUGCAACUGUUUAUUAAAAACAUAGCACUCUGCAAACACGAAAGUGGACGUAUAGGGUGUGAUGCCUGCCCGGUGCUGGAAGGUUAAUUGAUGGGGUUAGCGUAAGCGAAGCUCUUGAUCGAAGCCCCAGUAAACGGCGGCCGUAACUAUAACGGUCCUAAGGUAGCGAAAUUCCUUGUCGGGUAAGUUCCGACCUGCACGAAUGGCAUAAUGAUGGCGGCGCUGUCUCCAGCAGAGGCUCAGUGAAAUCGAAAUCGCUGUGAAGAUGCAGUGUACCCGCGGCUAGACGGAAAGACCCCGUGAACCUUUACUGCAGCUUGACACUGAACUUUGACCUUACUUGUGUAGGAUAGGUGGGAGGCUUUGAAGUUGGAACGCUAGUUCCAAUGGAGCCGUCCUUGAAAUACCACCCUGGUAAUGUUGAGGUUCUAACUCUGUCCCGUUAUCCGGGACGAGGACCGUGUCUGGUGGGUAGUUUGACUGGGGCGGUCUCCUCCUAAAGAGUAACGGAGGAGUACGAAGGUGCGCUCAGCGUGGUCGGAAAUCACGCGUAGAGUAUAAAGGCAAAAGCGCGCUUAACUGCGAGACCCACAAGUCGAGCAGGUACGAAAGUAGGUCUUAGUGAUCCGGUGGUUCUGUAUGGAAGGGCCAUCGCUCAACGGAUAAAAGGUACUCUGGGGAUAACAGGCUGAUACCGCCCAAGAGUUCAUAUCGACGGCGGUGUUUGGCACCUCGAUGUCGGCUCAUCUCAUCCUGGGGCUGAAGCAGGUCCCAAGGGUAUGGCUGUUCGCCAUUUAAAGAGGUACGCGAGCUGGGUUUAGAACGUCGUGAGACAGUUCGGUCCCUAUCUACCGUGGGCGCUGGAAAUUUGAGAGGAUCUGCUCCUAGUACGAGAGGACCAGAGUGGACGAACCUCUGGUGUACCGGUUGUGACGCCAGUCGCAUCGCCGGGUAGCUAUGUUCGGAAGGGAUAACCGCUGAAAGCAUCUAAGCGGGAAGCCUACCUCAAGAUAAGAUUUCCCUAGGAAUUUAUUCCUCUAAAGAGCCGUUCGAGACUAGGACGUUGAUAGGUUGGAUGUGGAAGCAUAGUGAUAUGUGAAGCUGACCAAUACUAAUUGCUCGUGAGGCUUGACUAU
rnacentral:rRNA from 1 species